UGAAGCAUUAUAAAUGGGGUGAAGAGAGACGUAGAAGACUAAAGCAACCACUAACAGUUAGCUUCGUUUUCAUUAAUCUAAGGAAGGGAAAGAGAUAUGGAGGAGGAAGAAACCGAGAAAGAAGACGACGACGUUAAGAAGCACGUCGAGCUACGGCUAAUGGAAGUUAGCUCGGUUCCGUUAUCUUUCUCUGGUUCUGGUUAACAACAGAUCAAGGAAGAAAACAAACGGCAAGUCAACAGAGGCAAAGGGAAGGCUACGCCUUUCUUCUUCGUAUUUUCUCUUUAAUUUUUCUUUCUGUUUUCUCUUAUUUUUCCGGUGAUGUGUAGAUUCUCUAACGAGAAGUAUAUAUAUCCCUAUUGUUUGUAAUAGUUUUAUGAUCUUGUUGUUUCUUCUAAAACUAUCUUUUUAUACAUUAAGAUCCAAGUUACGAUUUACAAGUAUA